AACGAACGCUGGCGGCAGGCCUAACACAUGCAAGUCGAGCGGACCCUUCGGGGUUAGCGGCGGACGGGUGAGUAACGCGUGGGAAUAUGCCCUUCUCUACGGAAUAGUCCUGGGAAACUGGGGGUAAUACCGUAUACGCCCUUUGGGGGAAAGAUUUAUCGGGGAAGGAUUGGCCCGCGUUGGAUUAGGUAGUUGGUGGGGUAAUGGCCUACCAAGCCGACGAUCCAUAGCUGGUUUGAGAGGAUGAUCAGCCACACUGGGACUGAGACACGGCCCAGACUCCUACGGGAGGCAGCAGUGGGGAAUCUUAGACAAUGGGGGCAACCCUGAUCUAGCCAUGCCGCGUGAGUGAUGAAGGCCUUAGGGUUGUAAAGCUCUUUCAGCUGGGAAGAUAAUGACGGUACCAGCAGAAGAAGCCCCGGCUAACUCCGUG
rnacentral:rRNA from 1 species